rnacentral:lncRNA from 1 species
GGGACACAAUAACUUGGGGACACGGGGCAAUCAGGAUUUGGGGACAUGGGGACAGCAGAAUUUGGGGACACGGGCACAGCACCACCCCCUGCUCCGUCCCCCCCAGGCCUCUCGGUGGCCCUCAGCCCGUCCCCGUCCCCGUCCCCGCUCGCCCCGCUGGCCCCAGGGGACCAUGAACGUGCUGGCCCCCGUCCGCAGGGACAGGAUCAUCGCCGACCUGCCACAGUGUUUUCGGAAGGAGGCCGCCCUGCACGCCCGCAACGCCUUCCACCCCAGCGUGGCCAGCGCCUGCCAGGAGCAGCGGACGGGCACCGUGGGGUUCAAGAUCUCCAAAAUCAUCGUGGUGGGGGACCUGUCGGUGGGGAAGACCUGCCUGAUCACCCGCUUCUGCAAGGACACCUUCGACAAGAACUACAAGGCGACCAUCGGGGUGGAUUUCGAGAUGGAGCGCUUCGAGGUGCUGGGGGUGCCCUUCAGCCUGCAGCUGUGAGUUGGUGCCAGCCCCCCGCCCCCCAAAAAGCACCCCCUGA